GCCUGGGUGGCUCAGUCGGUUGGGCGUCUGACUUCGGCUCAGGUCAUGAUCUCACGGUUCGUGGGUUUGAGCCCCGCGUCGGGCU
rnacentral:tRNA from 1 species